rnacentral:tRNA from 2 species
GCGGAUGUGGUGGAAUUGGUAGACACGCUGGUUUUAGGUACCAGUGUCGCAAGACGUGAGAGUUCGAGUCUCUCCAUCCGCACCA